rnacentral:tRNA from 1 species
UCCCUGGUGGCUCAGAGGAUAAAGCGUCUGCCUGCAAUGCUGGAGACCCCGGGUUCGAUCCCUGGGUUGGGAA